rnacentral:misc_RNA from 1 species
GAUGAAAAAGAAAAUAAAGACAGAACACAAGAAAAGAGUAUAUGGAUAACGGGGAGACUUAAACUAAUAGGAGACUCUUAUACUAAACUAGUACCAGAUUAGCCCAUUAAUGUAUUGAGGGUUGCUAUUGUUAAACUAAGUACAUGUACAAGCAUGUGUGUUGUUAAUUUUCUUGUUUUGAGGAUUAAAAUAAAUCUUUUUGCUACAAAAAAGUUGACAAAUUGUAACACAAUGACUAAUAUACCCGUACACAUCUAUGUUCAUGUGUUUGUGUGUACAUACAUAUAAUAACUGCAUGUAAUAGUGAACUGAUUUAUAUCUUCCUAUUCAAGCAAUUAUUCCAAUGCAUUGCUCUCAAUAACAAUUGUUGGAGCUAAUCAUAAUUGGGGGUGGUACUGUAGAUGUACUUGCACGUGCUGAGUUAUCUCUACAAAGAAGAUAAGAUGGCGCUUAUAGUAUCUCCAGUUGAAGUGGCACAAACUGUCUCAGAGUUGCAUGUAUCAAUAAAGGAGAGCAUACUAACAACUAAUGUAUUGAUAGGCACCAUAGUAAUAACAAUACUAGUGGUAUUGGCACUGUACAAUGGAUUGAGGGAAAGAGGGAGAGAGAAUGGUGGGGAGGCAGUUGUAAUAAAUAUGGAGGAAGGUUUUGUUGGGCAACAAGAGAUACAUAAACAUGUAGAGGAGGCUACUGACCUUAAUGAAACAAAGGACAUGGAAGAACGUUCACCCUAUGAUAAUUAUACAGUGUCUCCAAUAGUAUGUACAGAAGCGCCCCGCACUUUUGAAUCACAGGCGUGGUUAUCCCUCCCUCCAGUAUAUAUACUCCUCGUGGCUGAUAUCAAAUGGCGGCAUAUUGUAUAAUGUCAUCUCCAGGGGUACAUGUAUUAGCGACUACAGAGGAUAAUACACUGGCCCUUGGGAUAUCAGUAUACAAUGGAAUAAGGAACAAAGGGAGAGAGGACAAAAAA